rnacentral:rRNA from 1 species
GACGAACGCUGGCGGCGUGCUUAACACAUGCAAGUCGAACGGAAAGGCCCUGCUUUUGUGGGGUGCUCGAGUGGCGAACGGGUGAGUAACACGUGAGUAACCUGCCCUUGACUUUGGGAUAACUUCAGGAAACUGGGGCUAAUACCGGAUAGGAGCUCCUGCUGCAUGGUGGGGGUUGGAAAGUUUCGGCGGUUGGGGAUGGACUGGCGGCUUAUCAGCUUGUUGGUGGGGUAGUGGCUUACCAAGGCUUUGACGGGUCGCCGGCCUGAGAGGGUGACCGGCCACAUUGGGACUGAGAUACGGCCCAGACUCCUACGGGAGGCAGCAGUGGGGAAUAUUGCACAAUGGGCGGAAGCCUGAUGCAGCAACGCCGCGUGCGGGAUGACGGCCUUCGGGUUGUAAACCGCUUUCGCCUGUGACGAAGCGUGAGUGACGGUAAUGGGUAAAGAAGCACCGGCUAACUACGUG